AAAUCCCUGUGUCUCAGCAGCUUGCGAAUUAACUUUUCCAUUACUUUUAUGAAUCAUGCGGAGAUUAUUAAUUAGAAAAUGUUGGAAAGAGAGAGAGAGAGAGAGGUAUAAUAAAUUAGCAGUGGGAAAAGACAACAGCUUGCUUUUUUCUUGGCGUCCAAACACCAUCAUCCGUCUUCAAUCAUUGUAAAAACGGGAGAAGAUCGAUAUGCAUACAGAGAAUGAAUCUUUACAUUAAAUAAAUAAAUAUAUUUUUUGAGUUUCAG
rnacentral:lncRNA from 1 species